GUCUUGUAUUGGAUGAUGGGAAUCUAAACCUCUUCCAGAGUAUCAAUUGGAGGGCAAGUCUGGUGCCAGCAGCCGCGGUAAUUCCAGCUCCAAUAGCGUAUAUUAAAAUUGUUGCAGUUAAAAAGCUCGUAGUUGAAUUUCUGCUGCAUCGCCUUUUCUCCUUUACGAGUUUUGGCAUUGUGGCUUAUUUCGGAUUUGCUUGCAUUUCCGAAUGUUUACUUUGAGAAAAUUAGAGUGCUCAAAGCAGGCUUUUGCCUUGAAUAGUUUAGCAUGGAAUAAUAAAGUAGGACUUUGGUUCUAUUUUGUUGGUUUUAGGUACCAAAGUAAUGGUUAAUAGGAACAGUUGGGGGCAUUCGUAUUUAACUGUCAGAGGUGAAAAUUUC
rnacentral:rRNA from 1 species